GAGGAAUAUUGGUCAAUGGGCGAGAGCCUGAACCAGCCAAGUAGCGUGCAGGAUGACGGCCCUAUGGGUUGUAAACUGCUUUUGUAUGGGGAUAAAGUCAAUCACGUGUGAUUGUUUGCAGGUACCAUACGAAUAAGGACCGGCUAAUUCCGUGCCAGCAGCCGCGGUAAUACGGAAGGUCCGGGCGUUAUCCGGAUUUAUUGGGUUUAAAGGGAGCGUAGGCUGGAGAUUAAGUGUGUUGUGAAAUGUAGACGCUCAACGUCUGACUUGCAGCGCAUACUGGUUUCCUUGAGUGCGCACAACGUUGGCGGAAUUCGUCGUGUAGCGGUGAAAUGCUUAGAUAUGACGAAGAACUCCGAUUGCGAAGGCAGCUGACGGGAGCGCAACUGACGCUGAAGCUCGAAGGUGCGGGUAUCGAACAGGAUUAGAUACCCUGGUAGUCCGCACAGUAAACGAUGGAUGCCCGCUGUUGGUACCUAGUAUCAGCGGCUAAGCGAAAGCAUUAAGCAUCCCACCUGGGGAGUACGCCGGCAACGGUG
rnacentral:rRNA from 1 species